UACAGAGGGUGCAAGCGUUAAUCGGAAUUACUGGGCGUAAAGCGCGCGUAGGUGGUUUGUUAAGUUGAAUGUGAAAUCCCCGGGCUCAACCUGGGAACUGCAUGCAAAACUGGCAAGCUAGAGUAUGGUAGAGGGUGGUGGAAUUUCCUGUGUAGCGGUGAAAUGCGUAGAUAUAGGAAGGAACACCAGUGGCGAAGGCGACCACCUGGACCAACACUGACGCUGAGGAGCGAAAGCCAGGGGAGCAAACGGG
rnacentral:rRNA from 1 species